rnacentral:rRNA from 1 species
AGAGUUUGAUCCUGGCUCAGGAUGAACGCUAGCGGCAGGCUUAACACAUGCAAGUCGAGGGGCAGCGGGGAGGAAGCUUGCUUUCUCCGCCGGCGACCGGCGCACGGGUGAGUAACACGUAUGCAACCUGCCCCUGUCAGGGGGACAACCCGCCGAAAGGCGGGCUAAACCCGCGUACAUGCCACCGGGGCAUCCCGGAGGCAGGAAAGGCUUCGGCCGGACAGGGAUGGGCAUGCGGCGCAUUAGGCAGUAGGCGGGGUAACGGCCCACCUAACCGACGAUGCGUAGGGGUUCUGAGAGGAAGGUCCCCCACACUGGUACUGAGACACGGACCAGACUCCUACGGGAGGCAGCAGUGAGGAAUAUUGGUCAAUGGUCGGGAGACUGAACCAGCCAAGCCGCGUGAGGGAGGAAGGUACAGAGUAUCGUAAACCUCUUUUGUCAGGGAACAAAGGCGGGGACGUGUCCCCGGAUGAGUGUACCUGAAGAAAAAGCAUCGGCUAACUCCGUGCCAGCAGCCGCGGUAAUACGGAGGAUGCGAGCGUUAUCCGGAUUUAUUGGGUUUAAAGGGUGCGCAGGCGGUCUGUUAAGUCAGCGGUCAAAGCCCGGGGCUCAACCCCGGCCCGCCGUUGAAACUGGCAGUCUCGAGUUGGAGAGAAGUAUGCGGAAUGCGCGGUGUAGCGGUGAAAUGCAUAGAUAUCGCGCAGAACUCCGAUUGCGAAGGCAGCAUGCCGGCUCCACACUGACGCUGAGGCACGAAAGCGUGGGUAUCGAACAGGAUUAGAUACCCUGGUAGUCCACGCAGUAAACGAUGAAUGCUGGCUGUCCGGGGGGACUGACCCCUGGGUGGCGAAGCGAAAGCGAUAAGCAUUCCACCUGGGGAGUACGCCGGCAACGGUGAAACUCAAAGGAAUUGACGGGGGCCCGCACAAGCGGAGGAACAUGUGGUUUAAUUCGAUGAUACGCGAGGAACCUUACCCGGGCUCAAACGGGGAGUGGCGCAGGCAGAGACGCCUGUUUCCCACGGGUCACUCCCCGAGGUGCUGCAUGGUUGUCGUCAGCUCGUGCCGAGAGGUGUCGGCUUAAGUGCCAUAACGAGCGCAACCCCCGCGUGCAGUUGCUAACAGUCAACGCUGAGGACUCUGCACGGACUGCCGGCGCAAGCCGCGAGGAAGGCGGGGAUGACGUCAAAUCAGCACGGCCCUUACGUCCGGGGCGACACACGUGUUACAAUGGGUGGUACAGCGGGAAGCCAGGCGGCGACGCCGAGCGGAACCCGAAAUCCACUCUCAGUUCGGAUCGGAGUCUGCAACCCGACUCCGUGAAGCUGGAUUCGCUAGUAAUCGCGCAUCAGCCAUGGCGCGGUGAAUACGUUCCCGGGCCUUGCACUCACCGCCCGUCA